rnacentral:rRNA from 1 species
UACGGAGAGUGCAAACGUUGUUCGGAUUCACUGGGCGUAAAGGGCACGUAGGCGGCUCGGCAAAUCGGUCGUGGAAUCUCGACGCUUACCGUCGAAACGGCGGCCGAAAAUACCGGGCUCGAGGGCGUGAGGGGUCACUGGAACUCCUGGUGAAGCGGUGAAAUGCGUAGAUAUCAGGAGGAACACCGGAGGCGAAAGCGAGUGACUGGCGCGUUCCUGAGGCUGAGGUGCGAAAGCUAGGGGAGCAAACAGG